GGGGGGCCUACGGGAGGCAGCAGUGGGGAAUAUUGGACAAUGGGCGGAAGCCUGAUCCAGCCAUGCCGCGUGUGUGAAGAAGGCCUUAGGGUUGUAAAGCACUUUCAGGGGUGAGGAAGGGUGACUGGUUAAUAUCCAGUUAUCUUGACGUUAGCCCCAGAAGAAGCACCGGCUAAUUCUGUGCCAGCAGCCGCGGUAAUACAGAGGGUGCAAGCGUUAAUCGGAAUUACUGGGCGUAAAGCGCGGGUAGGUGGUUUGUUAAGUCGGAUGUGAAAUCCCAGGGCUCAACCUUGGAAUGGCACCCGAUACUGGCUAGUUAGAGUAUGGUAGAGGGGUGUGGAAUUUCCUGUGUAGCGGUGAAAUGGGUAGAUAUAGGAAGGAACAUCAGUGGGGAAGGCGACACCCUGGACUAAUACUGACAUUGAGGUGGGAAAGCGUGGGGAGCAAACAGGAUUAGAUACCCUGGUAGUCCAC
rnacentral:rRNA from 1 species